rnacentral:rRNA from 1 species
GAUGAACGCUAGCUACAGGCUUAACACAUGCAAGUCGAGGGGAAACGACAUCGAAAGCUUGCUUUUGAUGGGCGUCGACCGGCGCACGGGUGAGUAACGCGUAUCCAACCUGCCCACCACUUGGGGAUAACCUUGCGAAAGUAAGACUAAUACCCAAUGAUAUCCCUAGAAGACAUCUGAAAGAGAUUAAAGAUUUAUCGGUGAUGGAUGGGGAUGCGUCUGAUUAGCUUGUUGGCGGGGUAACGGCCCACCAAGGCUACGAUCAAUAGGGGUUCUGAGAGGAAGGUCCCCCACAUUGGAACUGAGACACGGUCCAAACUCCUACGGGAGGCAGCAGUGAGGAAUAUUGGUCAAUGGGCGAGAGCCUGAACCAGCCAAGUAGCGUGCAGGAUGACGGCCCUAUGGGUUGUAAACUGCUUUUAUAAGGGAAUAAAGUGAGCCUCGUGAGGCUUUUUGCAUGUACCUUAUGAAUAAGGACCGGCUAAUUCCGUGCCAGCCGCCGCAGUAA